GGGGGGUAGCGUGGGAUCUUGGGCCGUCCCAGGCGCCCUGUGCUCCUGGUACCUGUGCUGUUGGAUUUGCGCUCCUGGUCCCGCAGCCCCUU
rnacentral:pre_miRNA from 1 species